GACGAACGCUGGCGGCGUGCUUAACACAUACAAGUCGAACGAAGUGGCGAACGGGUGAGUAAUACGUGGGUAACCUGCCCUCCUUUUUGGGAUAAGCCUUGGAAACGGGGUCUAAUACCGAAUAAAGGGGGAUGGGCUCGUGGCCUAGCAGCUGUUUGGUGGGGUGAUGGCCUACCAAGGCGGUGACGGGCAGCCGGCCUGAGAGGGUGACCGGCCACAUUAGGGCUGAGGUACGGCCCAGACUCCUACGGGAGGCAGCGGUGGGGGAUAUUGCACGAUGGGCGGAAGCCUGAUGCAGCGCCGCCGCGUGGGGGAUGAAGGCUUUCGGGUUGUAAACCUCUUUGGGUUUCGAACGGGUUGGUGGCGAAGAAGCGCCGGCUAUCUACGUGCCAGCAGCCGCGGUAAUAC
rnacentral:rRNA from 1 species